GUGUCCUAUGAUCAUUUUGGUCAAGGAGAUAAAUUAUAUGAAAACUAUAUCCGCAUGGGUUCUAAGGAUGUUGCUCUACACAUUCGACCUAUCCGAUCGUCGGGUACCAUUGCUAGAUGGUCACUUCGAUUGGUACAGAAAUUUAUUUCUGUACUACCAGCUUAGGUUUGGACCUAUGAGGUCAUACACAUUAGAGUUCAUGAUCCGAUCAGAUGGUUGAUCAACAAUUAAGAAUCGUUCUAGGGUUAAAAGAUCAAUACGAUUGACAUUUAACCCAGUGCAAGUGUUGCAGGAGGAUCGAUUAGCAAUUCGAUUACUAAUUGGCUUAAUUUGAUUAAGCCAAUGGGCUGAGAUUAAGUCUAAUUAAAUAUGAUUUAAUUAAAUUUGAUUUGGACUUGAUUGGAUCAAGUC
rnacentral:lncRNA from 1 species